rnacentral:lncRNA from 1 species
UCCCCUUUGGCUCACCAACAAACCUUAACCCCUUGAUUCAAUCCCUUGAUUGAAUCAAGUUACAAGAUAUUAAAACAAAGGUUUAAAACAAAUCAAAGCUUCUUAAACAAGCAAAUAUAACAAUAUAAACAAAUAGAGUAAAGAGAAGCCCUUAAACGAGUUUUGAAGAUGAAGGAGCUCGGCUUCUUCUUUACUUGACCCUCUUCUGAUUUGGCACGAAGUAGAGGAUCACCGAGGCAGCACACGGAUGGAGAGGAAGCUAUGGGAUUCACUUGGAUGCUCUUCUUCUCUCUGUUUCGCUUUGGAUGGCCCUUUUGUGCUUAUGGGAGAUUUCCCUUGUAAUCUCUUUGAAAUCUCUUCCCUAAAUGUUCUCUCCCACUUCCAUGCCGUCUCCCCUAGCUCUCCUCUUGAUUUUAUAGCUUUACAUGUCGUGGAACCAGAAAUCUAGCCGUUAGAGACAAAAAUAGAGCCGUUGUCCACAGUCUGCAAC